rnacentral:lncRNA from 1 species
GCUCAAACAAACAACAAUCUCUCUCUCUCUCAAAAGAAAAGGCUCUCUUCCUUCUAUCUUUUGACAUAUAAAUUUCUUGUUUUCCUUUCAGCUACUUAAAAGGGUAAGUAUACAUCAUCAAAUUCAAGCUAGAAUCAACUUUUUUUUUUUGUUUUAAAGGGUUUUUGACGGAAUCUAACAAAAGGGUGUUUGGGUUUUGUAGAGUGGUGUAAAUGGAAGCAGCUACAGCUACUGUUAUUGGAUCUUCAAUUGGGAUCUCUACACCUGCAAAAUCUGUUGCUAGAUUGGGUUUUUUAGCUACCAAUAAACAAGAUUUUGUUCAUUUUCCUAUUAAGGUAUUACCGGUUAGCCUUAUUUUUGGGUUUAUGCAUGAAUUUUGUGUCGGAGGAGAGUGUAUGCCUAAAUUAUGCAAGUUACUGCAGCUUUUAACCCUUUACUAUUACGAAGUCGAAGGUAUAAUUUUUCUUAUGAUUCAAUUUGCAGUUUCAUGCUUAAGAGCUAUCAGUAAAUGAAGUCUUAUGUUUUAUGCAAAAGAUUUGUUCUAGGAGAUGGAUUCCUAUGUGUGGUUGUGUUGGAAUUUUUGUCAAAAAAUGAAGCUUUUAAGAAUUGUUUCACGUGAAAUUUUGAAAAGCUUAUAAUUUCUUUGGGUUUAUUUGGGACGUUUAAAGUUUACUUUGCUGUUGGUUUUCUGUAUUUUGAGACUAUGUAUGGAAAGCUGGUGUUUGAUUCCUCAUUCCUCUUGUGUUAUCUGGAUUCCAGCGUCAUUCUUCAGUUUCGUACUCAAAGCUGGGUCAUAGGAGAGUGGCAUAUGGAAGUAGGAGAUGUAUGGCAGUGAGAGCAUCUUCGUCAUCAUCUUCAGAUUCUUCAGGGUCGAUUGUGCCAAUUGCUCCGCUUCAGCUUGAGUCUCCGAUAGGGCAGUUCUUAUCCCAGAUUUUGGUUAGCCACCCUCAUCUUGUGCCAGCAGCAGUUGAGCAGCAGCUUGAGCAACUUCAAACUGAUCGUGAUUCUGAGAAGCAGAAGGAAGAUCCUUCUGCUACUGGCACCGACUUGGUAUUGUAUAGGUUAGUUUCACGAUCGUGGUAGAUAACUGUGUUUUAUAGGUGCUACUAUUGAUGCCGAAAAUUGAAUCUAAUGUUGGGUUUUUGAAAUUAUUAGGAGAAUUGCUGAGGCGAAGGCUAAUGACAGGAGAAAAGCCCUGGAAGAGAUUUUGUAUGCAUUGGUUGUGCAGAAGUUCAUGGAUGCCAAUGUUUCUCUGAUACCCACCAUAGGCCCCUCUUCCGCAGAGUCAUCUGGUCAGGUGGACACUUGGCCUAGCCAAGAUGAGAAGCUUGAACAACUUCACUCGCCUGAAGCAUAUGAAAUGAUUCAGAACCAUCUAACUCUCAUUUUAGGAAAUCGGGUGGGUGAUUCAACUGCUGUUGCACAGAUAAGCAAACUCAGGAUUGGACAGGUCUAUGCAGCAUCCGUGAUGUAUGGAUACUUCCUAAAGCGAGUUGAUCAAAGGUUUCAGCUUGAGAAGACAAUGAAAAUCCUGCCAAAUGGUGUGGAUGAGACAGAGAGUGAUAUUCACAAAGCUGUGGGUCAGGAUGUGAAACCUGGUGGUCGAGGGUUAUCCUAUCAAGCUCUGUCUUCCCAUCCUGAAGCCAUUUCUGGUGGUAUCAGUCCUGGAGGAUUUGGACAUGGAUUAAAGGCUUCACGAUUGCGAAAUUAUGUGAUGUCUUUUGAUGCGGAGACACUUCAAAGGUAUGCGACAAUAAGAUCAAAAGAGGCUGUUAGCAUCAUUGAGAAGCACACUGAGGCCUUGUUUGGAAGACCUGAGAUUGUCAUAACGCCUCAAGGGACC